UGAAAAGCCCGCUCGCCGGAAGACCAAGGGUUCCUGUCCAACGUUAAUCGGGGCAGGGUGAGUCGACCCCUAAGGCGAGGCCGAAAGGCGUAGUCGAUGGGAAACGGGUUAAUAUUCCCGUACUUGGUGUUACUGCGAAGGGGGGACGGAGAAGGCUAUGUUGGCCGGGCGACGGUUGUCCCGGUUUAAGCGUGUAGGUGUGUGUUCCAGGUAAAUCCGGUUCACUUUAACACUGAGGCGUGACGACGAGGCACUACGGUGCUGAAGCAACAAAUGCCCUGCUUCCAGGAAAAGCCUCUAAGCAUCAGGUAACACGAAAUCGUACCCCAAACCGACACAGGUGGUCAGGUAGAGAAUACCAAGGCGCUUGAGAGAACUCGGGUGAAGGAACUAGGCAAAAUGGUGCCGUAACUUCGGGAGAAGGCACGCUGACACGUAGGUGAAGUGAUUUACUCAUGGAGCUGAAGUCAGUCGAAGAUACCAGCUGGCUGCAACUGUUUAUUAAAAACACAGCACUGUGCAAACACGAAAGUGGACGUAUACGGUGUGACGCCUGCCCGGUGCCGGAAGGUUAAUUGAUGGGGUCAGCGUAAGCGAAGCUCCUGAUCGAAGCCCCGGUAAACGGCGGCCGUAACUAUAACGGUCCUAAGGUAGCGAAAUUCCUUGUCGGGUAAGUUCCGACCUGCACGAAUGGCGUAAUGAUGGCCAGGCUGUCUCCACCCGAGACUCAGUGAAAUUGAACUCGCUGUGAAGAUGCAGUGUACCCGCGGCAAGACGGAAAGACCCCGUGAACCUUUACUAUAGCUUGACACUGAACAUUGAGCCUUGAUGUGUAGGAUAGGUGGGAGGCUUUGAAGUGUGGACGCCAGUCUGCAUGGAGCCGACCUUGAAAUACCACCCUUUAAUGUUUGAUGUUCUAACGUGGACCCGUAAUCCGGGUUGCGGACAGUGUCUGGUGGGUAGUUUGACUGGGGCGGUCUCCUCCUAAAGAGUAACGGAGGAGCACGAAGGUUGGCUAAUCCUGGUCGGACAUCAGGAGGUUAGUGCAAUGGCAUAAGCCAGCUUGACUGCGAGCGUGACGGCGCGAGCAGGUGCGAAAGCAGGUCAUAGUGAUCCGGUGGUUCUGAAUGGAAGGGCCAUCGCUCAACGGAUAAAAGGUACUCCGGGGAUAACAGGCUGAUACCGCCCAAGAGUUCAUAUCGACGGCGGUGUUUGGCACCUCGAUGUCGGCUCAUCACAUCCUGGGGCUGAAGUAGGUCCCAAGGGUAUGGCUGUUCGCCAUUUAAAGUGGUACGCGAGCUGGGUUUAGAACGUCGUGAGACAGUUCGGUCCCUAUCUGCCGUGGGCGCUGGAGAACUGAGGGGGGCUGCUCCUAGUACGAGAGGACCGGAGUGGACGCAUCACUGGUGUUCGGGUUGUCAUGCCAAUGGCACUGCCCGGUAGCUAAAUGCGGAAGAGAUAAGUGCUGAAAGCAUCUAAGCACGAAACUUGCCCCGA
rnacentral:rRNA from 1 species